AGGUGUGGCAGAUUGGAACUAGACUCCACAGGAAGGUAGAUCUCCAGGAGCAGGUCUGGUGACCACUGCUCUACACCAUUUCAAACCUCUCCGAAUGAUUUUGUUUGCAUCUUCUCAACCCUUAAAUUAUGCAAUAUUAGGAAAAAAUGUGGGAUUUAAGCAUUUAUGUCUGAAUGCCUAUCACUAAUUUAAUGACCUCUGAACUAUCCGAUUGGAGGACUUUAUAUGAGUGUGGUCUACAAGCCAAUGGGCGCGCAGAAACGAAUUUGAAAGUUGCUCCGCCCAUAUGCCUCCGGACGUUAUACGAGGUUGUGCACGGGCUGCGUUGGGCAGUCUACCGAGUGCGUGUGCGAUAAGAAGUUAAAACAGGCGAGAAGAAUGUGUCCUGUGUCACAGAUGACACAAUCGAGUCAUCCUAAUUAAACAGGCUCAGGAGCAACUUUUCAUCUGACGUUAAAGAUUCAGAAAUACCCCCAUUUCCUGGAGAUCUACUCUACCCCAUCAUCAGAAGUCCUUCUGCUCUUAUGCAAGUCUACACAGGCAUUAAUCUAAAGUAUGAGCCUGGCUUGUACCAGACACCUCGAAACCAGGCCUGACUGAGCCCGACUAGUACUUGCACAUUUGAAACUCAAACCGGAAAUCGUUUGACUUUUUCUUCCACAGGCUGAACAACGGACCACCCUGUCUGGCUUGAUGCUGAUUGACUUGAUCAGGUGUUCCUUCCUGCUCACCUGCCCUCCAGACUAGUUUGACCACCUUGGAGCCUCCUGCAAGUCCAUUUACUCUCCUGGUGUGCAGAAAGCCUUACCUGCAUGCCCCAUUCACCCACUUGAAUGCUUACCUGGUCAUGGCAUGCCUUUACAGCAGUCUUGAUUUUAAUUCAGAUGAUCAUUCUUUUUAAAUGGCCUCUGAUAGGUUUCUAGAUUGUAAUACUUGUACGUCAUUGGUCUCAUUUUUGUUAAUCUAAUUACUUUAGCCUAAUUAGGCUUCCUUCUUUAUUCAUUAGCAUAUUUCUAAGAUGCCUCUUCACUUAUCACUCUUAUUGCUUGUUUUUCUAUUUUGGGUUGACCAGUGGAGGAUGGGUUCCUCUUAAGGUUUCUCCCUCUUGCUCUGUGGGAGUUGUCACUGUCUUUCUUUGCUUGGUCAUUUAGGGCUUGGACCUGGGUUUUUGUAAAGCUACUUUGUCAGUGUCUUGUGAAAAGUGCUAUACCAAUCAACUUAAUAUAUCUGAUCUACCCAGCUGUAGCUACUGGAACUCCAGUUACUACAUCAAAGUUAAUAAUUGAACAUAACCUUAUUUAUUGUAAGAUGGUUGAUCUCCAUAUUUUUGUUAAUUUAAUAUCUUUAAAUGGCUCUGCAGUUUUCCAUGUAAGGACGACUAAUUGGCACCACCUGAAGCUCCUGUUAUCUGCAUCUACUUUUUUGUAAAAGGAACAAGUCUUGCCAGUUGAGAGGCUCAAUGGGGAAGUGCUGAAAAUUGUUAAAUACUGUAAAUGUGUUCAGUUUGUGUUCUUGCUAAAAUGGUGUUUUUAUUAAUGCCAAUGCAUUUCUAAUUGUCAUAAUAAACAGACUCUGUUUUAGA